GAUGAAGAACGCAGCGAAAUGCGAUACGUAAUGUGAAUUGCAGAAUUCAGUGAGUCAUCGAAUCUUUGAACGCAUAUUGCGCUCUCUGGUAUUCCGGAGAGCAUGCUUGUUUGAGUAUCAGUAAACACCUCAACUCCCCUUUCUUUUUUGAAAUGGGAGCUGGACUUGAGUGAUCCCAACGCUUUUCUCACCGAAAAGUGGCGGGUUACUUGAAAUGCAGGUGCAGCUGGACUUUUCUCUGAGCUAAAAGCAUAUCUAUUUAGUCUGCCUAAAAACAGAUUAUUACCUUUGCUGCAGCUAACAUAAAGGAGAUUAGUUCUUGUGCUGACUGAUGCAGGAUUCACAGAGACAGCUUCGGCUGGCCUUUGUAAACUCGAUCUCAAAUCAAGUAAGACUACCCGCUGAACUUAAGCAUAUCAAUAAGCGGAGGA
rnacentral:misc_RNA from 1 species